UGCAAACUUGAGUUGAUGAGAGACUGGUCGUGAUUUCUCGACUGAGGAGCUAAGCUAAUUAUUGAAAGGAACACAUUCCCUAUACUAUACGGAUUCUCAAACAACGCCCGGCUUCAGGACGAAUCAUUAACGGCUCUAGUUUCAACACAUCACUUUGUUGUUCAGCUGAGAACAUUGAACUUCCCAAUUUACGCAUUCGCUGAAGACCAGGACUCCCAAUCUGGUAAUUAUCCUGUUUUGCAGUUUGAAGAAUGAAGCGUCCACUGGAAAGUUGUUUUUUCGUGGUGGUUAUUUCCAUUGCACUUGCCACCACAGAGGUCCAGACAGCGCUGAUUGGGUUCAACUGCGAUUUCCCAUCAGCUAAUGUAGAGAACGGGGUGGUGCAUCAUUAUGGGACACAAGCUCUGUAUCUCGUGGGUGAAACUCUGAUAGUGACAUGCGAUGAUGGCUAUACCCUGGAAGGGUCUUCGGAAAUAACCUGUCAGGCGGAUGGUAGCUGGCACCCUGAUCUACCUGCUUGUACUGGCAAGGGAUUAACUACAGUUCAGAAAAUUUUCAUUGUACUUGGAUCUCUUUUACUUUUACUAGGUUGUGGUGGUGGGAGUCGUGUGUUAUAUAAUAAUGAUUGUUGCAAUAACAUUGUAGCUCCAUUACUAGACCUAUAGGAACCGUAAACGUCGAACAAAAACCUUUGAAGCUUUUUUGAAGAACUAACCCAUAGUGGUUUUAUAUGCGUUAUUAUGGUUAUCGAAACAUUUUUUUAAAUUAAUCAUGCCUAAAACAACAACAAGCGUAUUCUUAUUAAGCACUGUUUAAUAGAUUUGUAUUUUAACAGCAAGCUUCACAAUGACGAUUAUUGCUCACGAGAAAAAGUCACUUAUGCAAAUAUACUGGGUCAACCUAUCAUUUAUAAUCUAAAUGACAAAAAAUAAAAAUAAAACAUAAAAAAAAUGGAUCACUCAGUAUUCCACUAAAGACCUUUCAAAAUACGUGUUAUGUCGUGCAGUAGAGCUCUGAACCAUGGGUGUUUCCCCACCUUCGUAGAUAAACGAAAACAUGCAAAUGAAUAAAGACAAUUACAAUCAACAUCAUCAUUUCAAAAAGUGGGGCAGCCGUGUUAGUCGGUCAGAAUCAAACAAAAAAGUAAGGUAGAAGACUUGAAUUCUUCUUUAUUACUAAACAUGAAAUAAUGUUUCAGCAGUGACUCAAAUUAUUGAAAUCUAUUUUUGUAUUUGAAUGCCUGUGCGUUAUCUCUGGUUCUCACUCAGCUAAAUAGCUUCAAAGCAUUAAGCAUUCCAUGGACAGCUGUAAAAAUGGGUUCUUUUAGUAAAACAUGCAUAACGUCUGAGUAUGGAUCAAUGUCAGUAAUUCUUGUCCACAUGAGUGGAAGAAAAUGUUCGUUUAAAACGUACUUCAUUGGUGUUUCAAAUUUAAAUGCAUUUUUAAUAUUUAGUGGUAAAAAAUGUAUUUAAUCUAGGCCACUUUCUGUUUGACAUGCCCUGUAUACAAAUACUUGUUUAUGUUUGUGUCAGAAACAUGUGUUUUAGUUUGAUUAUAUUCUAAAAAAGAUAAAUAGGAAAAUUGGAAAAUGCUUGUAUAUAGAAUGUACACAGAGAAUGAAAUAAAGUGUUUGAGUUGUUGAAUGAAAAUUAAAUCAUGAAAUGAAUUUUUUUUUUUAAGUUUCUUGAUCAAAUUUGAUGAAAUUUGUUAAAAAAAGUCCUUUUCAAGAACCUUUAUACGGCCUUGCUUAUCAACCUGUCACCUAUGUGUUUUUUUAAAUAAAUUGUUUACGCUUUUCCUGUCAACAGACAAAAUUUGAAAUUCUUAUUCAAACCGCGGCUCUUAUAGAGUAAGGUCAUCUUGGAGCGUUCUAAUUUUAUAUCAUCUACAAAAUAUCACCUUGGAUCUCGGUAUCGAUUCAUAAUUUGAAAUUUCAGCACAUAUUUUGAUUUUUUUAAAUUGGAAAAGAAAUCAGAUGUGAGGGCUGGGUGUUUUUUUUUGAACAAAAGUUUAGUAGACCCUAUUUCUUUUAAUUAAGUUACUUUUAAUUAAACUAAAAAUGUAUAUUUUUGUUGUAAAUCUGUGUCUGCAGAUAUGCCUAAAAUCCAGUUUAUUUGCUAGAGAUGUACAAGGAGGCUGCUGCGAACAUUUGAGUUCAUGAUACAUCAAUCCAUGCAGGGAAACUCCCCCGCACCAAAAUCAGGUCCGGACUUAUAGUUGUGUAUCACAACAGUAUUUAAAACUUCAAAUUAUUGAAAUAAAAUAAUUAUCAUAACGUUAAAAUAAACCAAACUCCUGGAAAUGUUAUCCAUAGCUGCAUGUAACUCAUUACUGUUAAAUGUUAAAAAUACGUUUCUGUGUUCUUCAAAUCGAUUAAUUUCCAUAAGUAAAAGUUGGUAAGUCUCUUCGACUGCUCGCCCUGCUAUUCAAGCAGAAUGAAAUUGAACCCCGUCCAAGGUGGAAAGGUGGUCAUGGCCAAAAUGGACUUCAAAAAUCUGUCAGAUUGAUCAAAAAUCUGCCGAAUUCACAAGAAUUACUCGAAAUACACUAUAAACACU